rnacentral:rRNA from 1 species
UGCCAGCCGCCGCGGUAAUACGGAGGGUGCAAGCGUUAUCCGGAAUUACUGGGUUUAAAGGGUGCGUAGGCGGUUGUAUAAGUCAGUGGUGAAAGUUUUCAGCUUAACUGGAGAAUUGCCAUUGAAACUGUAUGACUUGAAUUAUGUUGAGGUUAGCGGAAUGUGACAUGUAGCGGUGAAAUGCAUAGAUAUGUCAUAGAACACCGAUUGCGAAGGCAGCUAGCUAGGCAUAUAUUGACGCUGAGGCACGAAAGCGUGGGGAGCGAACAGGAUUAGAUA